ACCGCGGUAGCCCAGUUGGUUAGGGCAUCGGCAGUACUGAUGCCGAGAAGGUCGCAGGUUCAAAUCCUGCCUGCGGUG